rnacentral:rRNA from 1 species
GGGUGAGUAACACGUGAGUAACCUGCCCUUGACUUUGGGAUAACUUCAGAAAACUGGGGCUAAUACCGGAUAGGAGCUCCUGCUGCAUGGUGGGGGUUGGAAAGUUUCGGCGGUUGGGGAUGGACUCGCGGCUUAUCAGCUUGUUGGUGGGGUAGUGGCUUACCAAGGCUUUGACGGGUAGCCGGCCUGAGAGGGUGACCGGCCACAUUGGGACUGAGAUACGGCCCAG